UGUCCUAUAAUGGGAGUCAGAACAACAGAAAAAGAUACAUUAUUUUCUGAGGAAUAGCUCAGCGGUGGCAGUUUAGGGGGAAACACCUCUAACGUAUAAUGUAUGGAAGAGAUAUUUAUACAUUCAUGUUCAUAACAGCAUUAUUCACAACAGCCAGAAGGAGGAAGCGACCCAAAUAUCCACUGACGGACGAAUGAUAAACAAAAUGUGGUCCAUAUACGCACAAUGGGACAUUAUUCGGUCUUAAAAGGGAAGGAAAUUCUGAUGCGUUCUGACAACAUAGAUGAACCUCGAGGACAUUGUGUUAAGAGAAAAGAAGGCAGUCGUAAGACACUGUAUGACUUCCCUUCCAGGAGGUACCUAGAAUAGUCCAACUUAAAGAAACACAAAACAGGACUGGUCGUGGCCAGGGGCUGGGGGCUGCGCAAUCAUUGUCUAAUGUGUAGAGUUUCAACCUUGCAAGAUGAAACCAGUUCUGGAGGUGAACAGGAGUGCACAACAAUGUGAAUGUACGUAAUGCCACUGAACUGCGUGCCUGAAAAUGGUUAGGAUGGUGAAUUUUAUGUUUAGCGUGUCUUUCCAAAAUUGAAACCUGUAGUGUAUGACUUUCCCGCUAUAAAGCAUUCUGAAAAAGAAAAAAAAAAUUCACCUAUGGCCCCACCAUCCAGACAAGGCUCCUGUUCACAUUUGGCUGUAUUUCCUUCUAGUUUUCUUUCUCCAUGCAUUUUUGUUAAGUGUUCACAGUCGUAAGUACCCGCUAUGUAAUGUUCUUCUCUGAUUUCCAUCAGCCUCCACAACUUGGAGGCCUCGUUGUAAAUAGCUACACGAGUUCUGUCACCUAUAUUAUCGGAAUUUACUAAAACAUUCUCAUGAGGUUGGACGUUGCAUUUGCUUCCAGUUGGUAUUCAACAGUAGGUAACGCUGUGAUAAACAUCUUUGUGUUUAAAGCCUUGCAGUCUGCUGGGAUAUAUUCAUAGGUUUAAAUUGCCAAAGGUGAAGUUCCCGAGUCAAGAGAUAGGAACAUUGCUGUGGUUGGGGAAGUGUGACUUAAAAGUGUGCUUUGCUACAGGAGAUUAACUGGGAGAAUUUUUUUUUUCAGAUAUGUGCUAUUUGGAUUACUGUAAGAAUGCAUAUAAUUUCCAUUAGCCCAAUGUGGAUGGUACUCCUUGUCUACAUCUUAUUAUUUAGUGGUUUGCCCAUUUCAGUGAGGAAAAACACCUUGGACUUAGAUACAAGUAUUUUUUUUGGAAAAGGAAAACCUCCACGUUUCUAGUAGAAGAAUAAAGACAAGUUGAAAAUUGUUGGCAUUUGAUGUGUGUAAAGAAAUUAUCCACAAAAUAAACCACAACGGGCGUUAUAAGCGAUUCUUUGGUAUAUAUACUUAUAGUAUAUAUAGUUACUAUAUACCUACCAAAUGCCGGAUACUUUACCCAUAUUACCACUAACACUUGAAAUCAUCCCAUUUUAAAAACCAGAGAGAAAAGUCUCAAGGAGGCUCGUGACUUGUCCAAAGUCACGCAACUAAUAACAAGCAGAGGAUGGCUUUAAAUUUGGGUCUUUCAUUUGGAAGCUUCUAUGGUCAGUUCACCGCCCCCCCCCCCGCGUGCCCCCAUCUAGAUUACAAAUGGUCACGGUCAGUGGAGGGAGUCCUUUCUCUUUGACACUUUGUUUGCAUCUCAGAGACCAAGUAGUCUUCCUUCUGACGUGGUUGGACCCCCCUGGCAGAUCCGGAGACUUGAGGAGGAUGGUCACGCGGUCGCAGGAGAGUGAUGAUGGAUCAAAGAAAGAGGAAGAGACAGCCGAUCUUAAGGGGUGAAAGUGCCUUCCGCUGUGAGGCAGGAUGAAGCCUCGGGUGGAGGGUUCACACGCACUCUAUUCGACGCCCCCGUCUCUCCUCCCUGACAUGACAUAAAUGUGACACUGGUUUUAGAGAGCCUUGUUUCACUUGGCACUUCCUCGAACCUGCUCGAGAUUUGAUCAACACCCCGACUUCUCUGGCUGGGUUUCUCUUAGGGCAGAGUUUGCUCUGGGAAGGGGAGCAAGGAGAAGGAAAAAGUUCUUAUAUUAUAUUAUAGACCCCCUUCUUGGAAAUUCAUAAUACACAUUAGCACCUUAAAGGUUCUGAGAAGUCCUGCCACCAAAACUCAACCCAACGAAACACAAUGUGUCUUUCGUUAACCCAGUGCCGCCCAGAUUUGUUUGAUGACUCUUUUCUUCCCCACAAAACUCUCACAGAUAGGCUCGAGUGUUGUUUUCCUGGAAAAUAGCUUGUGUGGAAGCAAAGAAGUCGCUCAGCUCCUAGGAUCUCAGUCCUGACCUCAUUAUUGACUUUCUGUGGUUCUUUGCUCAGGUCCCUUGGCUCUUUGGGGGCCUCAGCAUGAAAGGAGCCUGUUGUAGUGAUAACUUGACAUUCCCUGCGUUCCUUCUAUGCUACCCACGCUAAGCCCAUGCCUCCCCACACGUCAGCGUCAUGAUGCUGCAAUGUGGGAGGGAAUACGUGUCUACACUUAACAGCCUGUGAGAUGGAAAUUUAGAGAGGUGAAACCGUUUGGCCUGCGGUCACCUGGCUGGUAGGUGGGAGAAAAGAUACUCAGGGUCAGGGUUGUCUGGGCUGUUAAACCAUACGGUCUGGGGUGAUGUGGUAAUGUCGUAAAGUGUUAAACACUAACAUUAUUAAUAAUUCAGAGGCAUUUCUCCAAGAGUUUAUCUGUACAGUUAGUUACUGAGUUGAAUUCGAGAUACGAGCGUCUUCUAUUUAAACCUGACACUGAUGUUAUUUCUACCCGACAGAUCUCCUUCCAUUCCACCACGAUGGACUGACGUGAUGGAUUCUUCUGGAAGGUCAGUGUUCCUGUCCUAAAAGAGAAUGGUAAAGAAGAGAACUGAAUCUCGGGCCACUUUGGGACGAUGUAUCUUUUCUUACGAUUUCUUAUCUUAGAAGAAGGAGAAGCACUUUAGUUUUCUGUAGGUCUAAAGACGAGACCCGGCCAGAAAAUCAACACUGGAAAACGCAGGGAAUGAGAGAUACUGGUUUUACUUCUCACUGUUCAGAAUGAGUGUGUCCCGUUCUUCUCCGAGCGGCGCUGUUGUCCCUGGGGGAGUCUGCACUUAGGAGCACGCAGCGGACUAUCUCAUCACCCCUUGAAGACCUCGUCCCUGAGGAUGGCCCACAGAACAGCAGCCCUGACUUACCCGGGAGUUUGUUAGAAACGCAGAACACUGGGGGGCCUGGGUGGUUCAGUCAGCUGAGCAACUUGGCUCAAGCCAUGAUCUCGCAGUUCGUGGGUUCGAGCCCCACACUGGGCUCUG